rnacentral:rRNA from 1 species
GACGAACGCUGGUGGCGUGCCUAAUACAUGCAAGUCGAGCGGACCAAUAGAAGCUUGCUUCUGUUGGUUAGCGGCGGACGGGUGAGUAACACGUGGGCAACCUGCCUGUAAGACUGGGAUAACUUCGGGAAACCGGAGCUAAUACCGGAUAAUUCAUCCCCUCGCAUGAGGGGAUGCUGAAAGUCGGUUUACGCUGACACUUACAGAUGGGCCCGCGGCGCAUUAGCUAGUUGGUGGGGUAAUGGCUCACCAAGGCGACGAUGCGUAGCCGACCUGAGAGGGGGAUCGGCCACACUGGGACUGAGACACGGCCCAGACUCCUACGGGAGGCAGCAGUAGGGAAUCUUCCACAAUGGACGAAAGUCUGAUGGAGCAACGCCGCGUGAGCGAUGAAGGCCUUCGGGUCGUAAAGCUCUGUUGUUAGGGAAGAACAAGUAUCGGAGUAACUGCCGAUACCUUGACGGUACCUAACCAGAAAGCCACGGCUAACUACGUGCCAGCCGCCGCGGUAA